GUACUCAUUUGGCAGCACAUAGACUAAAAUUCAAAUGAUACAAGGAAGGUUAGCAUGGCCCCUGUGCAAGGAUGUUAUACAAAUUAUUAAGCAUUCCAUAUUUUA
ensembl:snRNA U6 U6 spliceosomal RNA